rnacentral:tRNA from 1 species
GCCCGCGUGGGGUAGCUUGGAUAUCCUUCAAGGUUGCGGACCUUGUGACCCGCGUUCGAAUCGCGGCGCGGGCA